GACAGAGGGUGCAACCGUUGUUCGGAAUCACUGGGCGUAAAGCGCACGUAGGCGGACUCUUAAGUCGGUGGUGAAAUCCUGGAGCUCAACUCCAGAACUGCCUUCGAUACUGAGAGUCUCGAGUCCGAGAGAGGUGAGUGGAACUGCGAGUGUAGAGGUGAAAUUCGUAGAUAUUCGCAAGAACACCAGUGGCGAAGGCGGCUCACUGGCUCGGUACUGACGCUGAGGUGCGAAAGCCAGGGGAGCAAACGGG
rnacentral:rRNA from 1 species